rnacentral:rRNA from 1 species
UACGUAGGGGGCAAGCGUUGUCCGGAAUCAUUGGGCGUAAAGCGCGCGUAGGCGGCCCGGUAAGUCCGCUGUGAAAGUCGGGGGCUCAACCCUCGAAAGCCGGUGGAUACUGUCGGGCUAGAGUGCGGAAGAGGCGAGUGGAAUUCCUGGUGUAGCGGUGAAAUGCGCAGAUAUCAGGAGGAACACCAAUUGCGAAGGCAGCUCGCUGGGACGUUACUGACGCUGAGACGCGAAAGCGUGGGGAGCAAACAGG